rnacentral:rRNA from 1 species
AAACCAACCGGGAUUGCCUCAGUAACGGCGAGUGAAGCGGCAAAAGCUCAAAUUUGAAAUCUGGCACUUUCAGUGUCCGAGUUGUAAUUUGUAGAAGUAGUUUUGGGACUGGUCCUUAUCUAUGUUUCUUGGAACAGGACGUCAUAGAGGGUGAGAACCCCGUAUGAUGAGGCCCCCAGUCCUUUGUAAAACGCUUUCGAAGAGUCGAGUUGUUUGGGAAUGCAGCUCUAAGUGGGUGGUAAAUUCCAUCUAAAGCUAAAUAUUGGCGAGAGACCGAUAGCGAACAAGUACAGUGAUGGAAAGAUGAAAAGAACUUUGAAAAGAGAGUGAAAAAGUACGUGAAAUUGUUGAAAGGGAAGGGCAUUUGAUCAGACAUGGUGUUUGCGCCCUUUGCUCCUUGUGGGCGGAGGAUACGCAGCUCACUGGGCCAACAUCAGUUUUGGGAGCAGGAUAAAUCUGUAGGAACGUAGCUUUCUUCGGGAAGUGUUAUAGCCUACGGGAAUACUGCUACCUGGGA